AAGAGCACUUAAUGGAAACCUUGAUAAGAAAUAAAGUGAGGACGUCGCGCGACGAUACGUUAUAGAGAGGCAUAAGCCUGUGAUUUAUAAAUUUCCUGUAAGAAAACUUGUUAAAAAUUAAAUGAAAUUAAUGUGAAUUGAAUCAUCUUAGUAACAUUAAAAUAAAUCAAACGAGAAUCCAUUAGUAUAUGGGGAAUGAAUAUGGAUGAGGCUUAAUUUAUUUUUACUUAAUUAGAAUAUUAAUAAACUUUAAAAGGUUUAAGUCCUGUAUGAUUUAAGUAAAUAAAUUUCUGAGUAAUAUGUUUUUGUAUGAAUUAAGGAGAACCACCUUCUAAGCCAAGUAAUAUUUCUUAAUCGAUAGUGUAAGAGUACCGUGAGGGAAAGGUGGAUUCCAGAAGGAGUUAUUAUAAAUUGAGUGUUUAACUUUUUGAAAUCUUUUAAAUUAUAUUAAGAUAACAAAGUGCCUUUUGCAUAAUGAGUCAGUAAGUUAAUAAUUAUAGCAAGCUUAAGGUGAAAAUGUGUAAGCUAUAUUUUAAUUGAAGUUAUAAUUAUUAAACCUGAAGCCAAGUGAUCUAAUUGGAAGCAGAUUGAAGAUUUAAUAAUAUGAAUACGAGGAUCGAACUCAUAUAUGUAGCAAAAUAUAGAGAUGACUUCUAAUUAGGAGUGAAAGACUAAUCAAACUUGGUAAUAGCCGGUUUUUCACGAAACGUAUUUUAGUACUACAUUACUAGUUAAAAUAAAUUGAAGGUCGAGUACUUAUUAAAUGAAGGGGUGUAAUAACUUACUAAAUUUAGUUUAACUUCUAAUUUUAAUUUAAUAAUUUAAUAAUUUAGUAAUAGACAGUCUUUUAGCGAUAAGGUUUAAAGACAAAAGGAAAACAAUCCAGAUCGUAUAUUAAGAUCUUAAAAUUAUAGUUAAGUGAUAAAAGUUUUAUUUUUUCAAAUAAAUAAAAGGAUAGGCUUAGAGGCAGCCAUUCAUUAUAGAAAGCGUUUUAGCUUAUUAUUUUUUUGAAAUAAAACUUAAGAUUAAUGAAGACUGUAAACUAUAUAUCGAAAUAACGAAUUAGUAAAAAUUAAUGGUAGUGAAAUAUUCUGUAGUACUUAGUUGUGUAAACAUUUAAGAUUUUCCAGAAGAGCUAAUGCUGACAUGAGUAGCGUAAAUUAUGUAUAAUCAUAAUCAUAAGUUUAAGGGUUUCAAUGAAAUUUUAUACUCAUUGAGUGAAUCGGUCCUUAAAAGGAGGACGAAAGUCGUAUUUGACAGGAAACAGUUAUAUGCAUUAAUUUUUUUGUUUGAUGUGAAAGAAAGAAGAAAGACUAUAUUUAUUUUUUAAGGUAACAAGUACUAGUUUUUUAUUUUUCCAAGAAAAAAUUAUAACUUAAAUUAAGACCGUACCCAAACCGACACAGGUAAACUUAAGAAUAGUGGAUGAAUAAAUUAUACUGAAGGAACUCGGCAAAAUUUCUCUGUACGUUCGCAAUAAAGAGAAUCAUAUAUUAUUUAUAUGAUAUCAUUAACAAGAAAGCAACGACUGGUUAUCAAAACCAUAGGACUCUGCAAAUUAAAUUAAGAUGUAUAGAGUUUGACGUCUGCCCAGUGCUUGAAAGUGAUAAAUUUAAGUGGAAAGCUUAAGUUUUAAUCUCAAGUAAACGGCGGUUCUAACUAUAAGAAUCCUUAGGUAGCGAAAUUCCUUGACGGGUAAAUUCCGUCCUGCAUGAAUGACGUCACGAUUGCUUUGCUGUCUCCAGUAUAAGUUCAGCGAAAUUACAUAACCUAUGAAAAUGUAGGUUUUUCUACAGUAAGACGGAAAGACCCUAAAUCCUUUACUUUAUUUUUAUAUUGUGAAAGUUUAAAACGAUGUAUAGAAUAAGUGGGAGUUUUAAAGCAAAAUUGAAAUACCACUCAUUGAAUUAAAUUUUACUAAUUUACUUGAGUGUAGAUUCUGUAAAAAAGGAAGUUUACUUGGGACGAGUACCUCCUAAAAUGUAACGGAGGUGUGCGAAGGUGAAUUUCAAUUAUUUUAUUUAGAUAAUGAAGUAUAUAAUGGUUUAAGUUUGCUUAACAGAAAGAUUGAUAAAUCGAAUUGAAACGAAAGUUGGUCAUAGUGAUCCGAUAUUAAUGGGUGGAAAUAAUAUCGCUCAACAAAUAAAAGGAACUUUAGGGAUAACAGAUUCAUCGUGGUUAAAAGUUCUUAUUGACGCCACGGUUUGAUACCUCGAUGUCGACUCAUCUUAUCCUGAAAUUGAAGUAGAUUUCAAGGGUCUAGUUGUUCGCUAGUUAAAAAGGUACGUGAGUUGGGUUCAGAACGUCGUGAGACAGUUCGGUCCCUAUCUACUGUAGAAGAGAAAAAUAGUGAAAUUUAUUUUUAGUACGAGAGGACCAAAAUAAUUUAACCUCUGGUGUAUUGAUUAUUAAACCUUUAAUAUUGUCAAGUAGCUAAGUUAAGUAAUUUAAGUGCUGAAAGAAUUAAAAGCAUUAAAGAGAUUUACUUAUUUUUCAAGAAUUUUCUAAAAGAUUAUUAGAUAAAUCGGUUUAAAGCUAACUUUUAGUAAUAAAAAGCUUAUAAAUACGA
rnacentral:rRNA from 1 species